GUCAGAGAAGCAGUGGUCUUGAGAUCUAUCAUAGUAGCUUGAAAGUUCCUGAAAAUUGCGCUUGCUGCUUUCCCAGAGACUGCGUCCUCCAGAUGAGCCUUGCAGUCCCUUGGUUCCUAACGAAGCCCUGUCUGCCGUCCUGAGAAAAUUCAAGGAAGGGCAGUGAGUCACAGUGAAGGCUGGACCGUCAAUCACGAUGCAGGAUAUGAUGCUACAACAUGGUUUUGAUUUUCCAUCUUUUUCACGUUGACCUUUUCGGAAACUUGAUCUAGCUGCCUCACCAUCACUUUCCUAUUCACUGUGGAUUGAGAAAUGGUAACAACCACAAAGUAUACAUCUGUUUCUAAAUGGUGUGACAUAAUUGUACUUGGUGGUCUUUCACCCUGUUGCCAUACUGGGAAAGAUUUCAUAUCCAAAUUAAACUGUUUUAUAUACAGUAGGGAGAAAUCUGCUUUUGCUCACUUUUAAAAUUUCUUGAAGCCCAAAACGUUUCUGUAAAAAAACAGCUUUUUAUCUCGAAAUAAAAAACAGAUAUUCUA